rnacentral:lncRNA from 1 species
AAUGCUUAAUUUUCUUGGAAAGCCCCAAACGUACACUCUUUCGCGAAAGGAGGGAGUAGUCGAUAGUACCAAUGCCACUCCCUUCUCUUUUGUUCUGAAUAUAAAAAAACAAUCUAGAUCCAACGGCAGAACAAUAAACUUAUCUCUAACAAAAACCAUUCGACUUAUAUAUAGCAAAUCCGAAUAUCUAUUUUUUAAAGUAUGUAAGUAUGGAGAUGCUUCUGGAAACAAAACAAAAAUAACUAUAUAUUUAUUGUUAUAAAGAUCUAACUGGAUAAAAGAUACAUAUCACCAAGAUUAUUACACACCGUUUAUACU